rnacentral:sRNA from 1 species
GUUUUCCUGGUCAUGCGGAACUGCUACUAGAAGAAUCAAACCAAAAAUGAAAGGAAAGUUGUCCUUUCCCUUUCACAUUCAGUUCCCCAGUCAGUGAGUAGGGUUGAGCGAUGGUAAAUGAAGAGUUCCUGUUAGUAUGGGGAGCGGAGAUGGGAUCAGUCUCCCCCAAGGGAAAUAAAUUCAUAAAGGAAGGAAUUUGCCCAAUCGGAGAUCCAAAAGAACAUACAGUAUUGCGCAUCUAGCUUGUUUAAUGCCCAGCACGGUUGUCAGGCGUCCUUAAGACAGAGAAGAUAAAGGACUUGCUCCGUGCAAAGGCAUAUCUGGAAACCUAUCUCAUCAGUUGAACCAUCUGAUCACCACGGAAAAAAAUGAGUCACUCUGGGUGUAGCAUCAAAGCUCACCCAAAGUAACCCACUGGCUAUCACGUCGUUCAUCUAGUGCCGGCCCAAAUACAAGUAAUAGCUCCAACGCUUGGAUACCAUUCCAUGGAACCAGACACGGCACUCAGUAACGUUCAAUGGCAUAAAAAUAAACAAAAUACAAAAAGGAACAUAGUAAAAGGUAGUCGGAAAUCGCAAAUACUAACACACAAAAGGCAAGAGGAAAAUCGAAGUGGCAACAACACCAUUGAAUAAAGUUACAGCGACGAGUGAUUGUCGAGCAAGGUUAACACCCAGGCCGAUGUAUGUCGAAAGGUGGAUAGGUUGAAAUUGUUAAGCGAGAAUUUCUCGGACAGGUAUCUCCUCAAUACGCGGUUUCCCGUUGAUAAUGUCAUGGCGUUCUGGCUUCUCAGUGAUCAUCUCUCGUUCGAGAAUCACCCACAAGAAAGCGAGAUCAAAGGAAAAUAAGGCCAGUCCCCAGUCCCCGACUCACAUAUUUCCAGCCAAGGGUGGUAUGGCACACCCGACAGUAGACAUCUCUCACGGUGUGCCUUCCAGUGCGCAUUUCUCUGUCUUCGGCCUCACCGCUGUAUGUGUUUACUCUGGUUGUGAUCAGCGACGGCGGGAUGACAGGAGGCAGCGGAAGCUGUCUCAUGACCUACACUGUGUGGACUAGGAUAGCCCGACCAUGCUGGCCAGUGAAUUGCUACCACACAUGGAGCAUAAGCCUGUAUUCUAUGCCAGACCCAUCGAAGCCGACGUAAAGAAGACCAUGCACGGGUUUGCCACCCG